rnacentral:lncRNA from 7 species
CUGGUGUGGUUUUUGGUGCUUGCACUUCUCCCUUUGUAUUGUUUGGUUUAUUUAUUUAUUGCUGCUAUUUUACUCUGACUGUUUUUCCUGUUUUCUUUCUUUCCAGGAUAUCUUGUUCUCUCUGGCAGUACGGCGUUCUUCAGUUUGUCAGGUGAAGCGGGAGUGUUGUCUGUUGGUUUGUAGUUUCAACAGUGAAGCUGCCAUCUUCUUCUGGAGAGCGUGGACAAUAAAUGUGCUAAACCCUUUGUGUUGCUUGUGGUGUUGUGUCAUAGAAACAUAGAAUCCCAGGGCUGGAAGGGAUCUGCAAGAUCCUCUAUUUGACCCCGUCCUUCCAUUUCUGUUGCUACCACAGGCUGCUAACCCAUUUCUCCUAGCUCCUCAUACUGAUGCCUCUCAAACAGUGCCAGGGACAGUGACUCCAGUUGGCAGGGCAUUGCAGCUCUUGACCCAGCUUUGACAGACGGAGUU